rnacentral:rRNA from 1 species
UGGUGGAGUGAUUUGUCUGGUUAAUUCCGCUAACGAACGAGACCUUAGCCUGCUAAAUAGUCGCUUCCAUCUCCGGAUGGAUGAUUGACUUCUUAGAGGGACUUUGUGUGUCUAACGCAAGGAAGUUUGAGGCAAUAACA